AUUCAAGGUGAUUUCCUCUCCAAGGGCCAAAUGAGAGCCUGUCUUAGGAAAGUAGGAACUUGGAGGAAAAUCUGUUCUAAAUAA